rnacentral:rRNA from 1 species
UACGAGGGGGGCGAGCGUUGUUCGGAAUUAUUGGGUUUAAAGGGUGCGUAGGCGGUCUUUUAAGUCAGUGCUGAAAUAUCCCGGCUUAACCGGGAGGGUGGCAUUGAUACUGAAGGACUUGAGUACAGUCGAGGUAGGCGGAAUUGACGGUGUAGCGGUGAAAUGCGUAGAUAAUCGGAAGGAACAUCAGUGGCGAAAGCGGCUUCCUGGACCAGCACCGACGUCAGGCACGAAAGCGUGGGGAGCAAACAGG